GACGAACGCUGGCGGCGUGCUUAACACAUGCAAGUCGAACGGAAAGGCCCUGCUAUUGUGGGGUGCUCGAGUGGCGAACGGGUGAGUAACACGUGAGUAACCUGCCCUUGACUUUGGGAUAACUUCAGGAAACUGGGGCUAAUACCGGAUAGGAGCUCCUGCUGCGUGGUGGGGGUUGGAACGUCUCGGCGGGUGGGGAUGGACUCGCGGCUUAUCAGCUUGUUGGUGGGGGAGGGGCUGACCAAGGCUUUGACGGGUAGCCGGCCUGAGAGGGUGACCGGCCACAUUGGUCCUGAGGUACGGACCAGACUCCUACAGUAGGCAGCAGUGGGGAAUCUUGCACAAUGGGCGGACGCCUGAUGCAGCAACGCCGCGUGCGGGAAGACGGCCUUCGGGUUGUAAACCGCUUUCGCCUGUGACGAAGCGUGAGUGACGGUACUGAGUGAAGAAGCACCGGCUAACUACGUG
rnacentral:rRNA from 1 species